rnacentral:rRNA from 1 species
AUGGAGGUCAACUCCGGUGCCCCGAGCACCAAGAGGGCGAGGCUCGCGCCACCGGCGACGCCUUCCUCUGGUGGUUUGGCGGUAGCGGCUGGAAGCGGCGAGGGUGCGCCUACUGGAUCCGAGCAUCAAGAAGAGCAGUCUGGUCCCGACCGCAUCAACGACCUCCCGGACGGUGUCCUCGGUGAGAUCAUAUCCCGUCUGUCCACUAAGGAAGGCGUUCGCACUCAAAUCCUCGCACGUCGGUGGCGCCCUAUUUGGCGUGCCGCUCCUGUGAAUCUAGACUGCCGUGAGAUCCCUGUCCCACGUCUUUUUAACCCUCUAGAUCAAGUACAUUUUGAGUUGGUCACCGCGAACUCCGCCACACCGGAGGAACUCAUCCGCGUAACAUACACUGGAACUUUUUUAGAGGAGAACAUGUCGGUGAAGAUAAUUCCUAUGAUGAUCAUAUGGGCCAUUCCGUGCCUCACAGACUAA